UACGUAGGGUGCAAGCGUUGUUCGGAUUCAUUGGGCGUAAAGGGUGCGUAGGCGGCGCGGUAAGUCGGGUGUGAAAUCUCGGAGCUUAACUCCGAAACUGCAUUCGAUACUGCCGUGCUUGAGGACUGGAGAGGAGACUGGAAUUUACGGUGUAGCGGUGAAAUGCGUAGAUAUCGUAAGGAAGACCAGUGGCGAAGGCGGGUCUCUGGACAGUUCCUGACGCUGAGGCACGAAGGUCAGGGAGCAAACGGG
rnacentral:rRNA from 1 species